GAUGGACGCUGGCGGCGUGCCUAACACAUGCAAGUCGAGCGGCAGCGAGGGGUGCUUGCACCCUGUCGGCGAGCGGCGGACGGCUGAGUAACGCGUGGGAACGUGCCCCAAAGUGAGGAAUAACUGCCCGAAAGGGUAGCUAAUACCGCAUAUUAUCUUCGGAUCAAAGGAUUUAUCCGCUUUGGGAGCGGCUCGCGUCGGAUUAGGUAGUUGGUGAGGUAAUGGCUCACCAAGCCGACGAUCCGUAGCUGGUCUGAGAGGAUGACCAGCCAGACUGGAACUGAGACACGGUCCAGACUCCUACGGGAAGCAGCAGUGAGGAAUCUUCCACAAUGGGCGAAAGCCUGAUGGAGCAACGCCGCGUGCAGGACGAAGGCCUUCGGGUUGUAAACUGCUUUUAUAAGUGAGGAAUAUGACGGUAACUUAUGAAUAAGGAUCGGCUAACUACGUG
rnacentral:rRNA from 1 species